AACGAACGCUGGCGGCAGGCUUAACACAUGAAAGUCGAACGCAUCCUUCGGGGUGAGUGGCAGACGGGUGAGUAACGCGUGGGAACGUGCCUUUCAGUUCGGGAUAACCCAGGGAAACUUGGGCUAAUACCGGAUACGUGCGAGAGCAGCAAGAUUUAUCGCUGAAGGAUUGGCCCGCGUCUGAUUAGCUAGUUGGUUGGGUAAUGGCCCACCAAGGCGACGAUCAGUAGCUGGCCUGAGAGGAUGAGCAGCCACAUUGGGACUGAGACACCGCCCAAACUCCUACGGGAGGCAGCAGUGGGGAAUAUUGCACAAUGGGCGCAAGCCUGAUGCAGCGACGCCGCGUGAGGGAUGACGGCCUUCGGGUUGUAAACCUCUUUCAGCACCGACGAAGCGCAAGUGACGGUAGGUGCAGAAGAAGGACCGGCCAACUACGUGCCAGCCGCCGCCGUAA
rnacentral:rRNA from 1 species